AAAAAAGAUAGAUUUUUCCCUCAUAAAAUCGAAAUAGUGUUUAUUUAGAGAGGGAAUCAUGGCAGCACAAAACCCUUUUCAAGCAAAUUUAACGACUCUUAAGGAGAAUCUUUCGUCCACCGCACCAAGCGGGACAGAGCUAGAUCCAUAAACAAUUGGAGGUUCUCGCUCAUCUCUUGGGGUCCAUAUCAUCUGAAAACUUUUCCUGUUCCAUUAGCAUAGCUAAAUUUGAAUAGGAUGACUCAGUGUCAGGAAAAGUAAGCCCCCCUUGCCUGGGCUAAAGCUAAAGCAAACGACAAGGAAUUGAACAAACAUAAGAUCAAAUAUUCAAAUAAAAACAAAGAAUCUUCCAAAAGAAUAAGAAAAAUUUACUUUCUAUUGAUUUAAUCGUGCAGUGCACAGAUAAAUACAACAGUAAAUCGAGUGUUAAUAUAUACAUGGAAAAAAAAAACACGCCAUCGCCUUCAAGUUCCAGCAUCACGGUCUUCCAUUACUUACUGGUUGGCAGAAAGAGCCUUGACCAUCCCAUGAUUUCUCAUCCAGAGCUGAAUCAACUGGAAGCAAAAAAAAUAUUGUCAAGGCAAAACCACGGAUAAGCCUUGGCAGAAAAGAAAGAGAAUAUAUAUAAGCAAAUACAUUUACAUGCAGGGUAAAAAGGGGUAUCACAUUCUUUCUAACUGAGUUAAGAAUGCGCAGAGUAUAGAAAAAGCUGAACAGCUCUUUCCAGCAAAGCAUACCCCUUCUAGGCGAUGACACCACAUAAGUUAGCCCCCCAGACCAAGGGAAAUCUAAAGAACCCUGAUGCCACAAAUUUGAAUCAAGAUAUUUAAAGGCCAAUCUAUAACCCCAGCAAAAGAUUUAAAGAUGCCAUGGCCAUUUACAAGAAAAAAUCACCCAACAAACUGGUGACUUGACCACUCAUGCGGUGACCCAAAUCAAUUUUAACAUCUCGUUAUUCCACAUUUAGUGUCCCAAAUCAAUGGGGACAUAUAAGCAGCAGACCAGACAUGCCCUGAUCCGAUAUAUCCACAAGGCAAAAGUAAAGAUGGGCACUUGGUUGUGCAGCAUGGGUUAAUAAUAUAAGUCCAUCACCAUACAUUACAUGGCAUGCAUCUCUCCUCCUUAACCCGGGCUUGAGACCGGCUGUGUGCUAUGAAAUGCAGCACAGGCGGAGUUACAUGCAUUCAACCACACACAGGUACCAACAAGCACUCAACAGAGAAAUAAGCAUGCAGAAGCAAACUCUUCCAAAAAGACAGGCCUAAGCACAUCAUAAAAGCAAUGGAUAUCAAACGAACCCCAGUACAGAUUAUAGAAUCGAGCAUUCAAAAACCUUGAGCUGUAAAAUCAUAUUUGCUGCAUACUUUGCAAAACUGUAGCUCCUCUUAGAACAACACUUUGACAGAUCAACGUUCACUACCACAAUCUGAAACCACGGAACCAAAAUUCAAGGACAAACAGAAACCUCGAUCCAUGCAAAGCAACUUGACAAUUCCAACAACAAUAGCUUUGUUUUUCACACGUACUUAAUGCGGGAGAUAUCAAACACCUUCGAAAACCAUCAGAUUGGUACACAGGUAUUCAGAAGUGAAAGAAUAUUUUACAAGAUCCAACACAUUACCAAAGGCAAUCUUAACCCAAACCAUGAAGUAAAUUCAGUAUUUGAUAUGGCAACAUGAUUCGACCACAACUUCAAAUAGCAGAAGCUCAGGCAAAAAACAAAAAGCCAAAAUACCAAAGUGAAGCACAGCUGGUAAUCCCUGCAAACCAAAUUCACCAAACAAUAACCAGCCAUCCAUCAACAACUCCAACAGCCAAGUAGACACUGCCAUUUAAUAGGAAGACUAAGCCAGACUCAGCCAUAAACUGAGCAGCCAGCAAGACUUUCAAUGGGUCAAUAGCCAUCCACUGGUUCCUAAAACACAAUGAGCAUAGGCAACAGAGACACAGGUCUGCAGGUCAAGCCUACCACAUGCGUCAAGUAUAGCCAACAUCAGAACACCACCAUUACUUAGCAAAGACAAAUGGACAUGAAACUACCAUUUCUAAAAUUCACAAACCCGAAACAUUGAGAAUAUCCAAGACUUGACCAGCAUCCGCUGAUCCAAAAAAAACACAGUACAAGGCACCGCAUGGUAGACAAGUGUUUUAACGAGAAAGGAGAAGACAUUCCAGCUGUUGAAAUGUCAGUAGCUAGCAGCUUCAUCCAUGUUCAUCAGCCCCAGAAAAGACUCAAAGCCAAGAAAUAUUGAUGAAAAGAACAAGAGUUGACGCAAAGGAAAUCAAUUAAAAGCAAAGGAACCUUCUAGAAACACUUGCCAUCUGAUCUUUACAUGUAUCUCCAAAAGAAGCUGAUCCAUCAAUUACCCUCCUAUAAAAGAACAAUUUCGCAGGAAAGAUUACAACCAGAACAGAAACUCAUCUAGUAUCCCAAAGCAACCCCAAGCAUCAAGGACUCGCUUCACCAUUCUCAUUCCUGUUGAAGUUUCAGGAUUUUAUAAAAAUAAACUUAAACAAGAGCACACCAACAAAAACCAACUUGACCUUGUUACUCAGAACUUGAAAAGGAGGAGCCAUUUGGAAAAACCUAUAACAGCACAAUGAAGGCAGAGCAGAUAGCAACAUGGGAAAAUUUGCAGAUCCAUAGCAUUAGUGAAACAAUAGUUGGCUCACUUGUAACUUUCUAAUCAAAUUGCAAAAGCAGAGGAUCAGACAACUUCGAGAGAGAAUCUGAAAUAAGAGCUUUGAGGAAAAAAUAUGAUUAACCAGAUGUCACAUCACCAAGACCCUGAAGAAACACUCCUCAUAAAUGAGCCUUGGGACCCUGAAAAGAUGAAAGGUAAAAACAAAUUCAGCCAAUCACUUCAUAUGUACAAAGAGAGAGUUAAAGAGGAUGAACCCAAAGCAAACUAGACGCGUAUAGAACCGAGUUACACACACUCCCCAGUCUGAGAAAGGAAAGAAGUAAUUCAUGUAUCAGCAAAAGCAAAAGACAUUACUCAAUGCCCAACAAUUUUGAGCUUUGCCCUGCCUGCAAAAUAGAUGGCCCGACAAUUUUGAAGGAACAAAACCUAAACCAAGAGCAUAUAGAAGAAAAAGCAGAGCAAUCAGAAGUCACACAUUACUAAGACCCAAAAGCAACAAAUUCCCUUGUAAGUUUAAGACCACCCAAAAACACAGAAAAGCUUAGAAUCGAUGUAAGUAGAAGCGGAUUAUUUUCAUUUAUAUUGCACAACCAAAAUUAAGGAAACAACAUGUUUACAAGUUGUUGGGAAAAUAAUUAUCUUUGAAAACAUCUGUAAUGUGUAGAAUAAAUAACCGCUGACAGGGGAAAAUAUUUAUGAGAGAAUAACAUGUCAAGACAAAAUAAUUUCCAUAAAAAAUGCGCAAACCUAGUUACAGAUUUUACCUCUAUUUGAUAAUUAGUAAGCAUAGAUGUAAAGCAAAUUAAAGCAAAUUAAAACGCAUCUGGUGCUUUGCCAGUUGUGGAGAGCUGUUAUCAUUUGAUUACACUUGAAAACAAACCAUUGUAAUUCUUGAAGACACCCUGAGAAACAUAGUCAAAGAGAUCCUCCUUGAUGCUGAAACAAAUGGGUAUGUUGUCGAUGGUACAAAUAGAAACAACAAGAAUCAAAAGCAAGAGGAACACUCCUUGGUAUAUCUUGGCCGGAAUUUAUUUAAUUAAGAAAAACAAAGAGAUCCUAUAAACAUGCAAACAGAGCUUAGACUCUAGUUUUGUUAAGUAAAAAAAAAGGUGAUUAAAAUGCAAAAACAAUUUUGAACAGACAAUUUAACAACUCACAAGCUUCUGAAAGCAAAAUAAGAAAGAAUGCUCAAGAAAUAUUUAGCAAGAAGAUAUAGAGGAAGAAGCAGGGGAAGAAGCAAAGAAAAACCUCAAGAACAAGGCAAAGGAGACCUGCUGUAGUAAGACAAGCAUACUAAUAACCUCCCAUUCACUGAAAAAACAUACAACCAAAUCAUAAGUUAAAAAACACAACUUAAAUGCAAAAAAACACAUGCUGGCAUCACAAUUAGUGAUAUAGCAAAUCGCAUAUAAAGUCACCCUGUUCACUCUUUAACUUAAUUUCAUUUUAAUAGGAGAUUGUAUAAAGUCAAAUACUACUUACUACUAUUACCACCACCACCACUACUAGUAAUAAUAGCAGCAGUAAUAAAAAUAAUAAAUAAAUAACAGAAGAACAACAAACAUGAAGAGAGUGCAGAGAAGCUCUCAAAAGCAUCAAUCAUCUGAUCACAAAGAAUAUAAACACCCUCCAAUCCAUGCCCUAAAAAUGCUUGAUGAGAUCCCAUUAAAACACACAAUUAAAACACAGACACUAGCUCUAUUGUUUUAGAAUCAAAAGAAAAGUGGUGGUUUAAAAUGUAGAAACAAGGUAAGAAGACACUUGGCAUACAACAUCAUCUAGAAAACACCUGCACAAAAUAGAAUUAAAAUUAACGAGAAUAAAAGAUUUCGAUAUACUCAAGGAAGAAUGUAUCAAGAAAACAAGAGUACAGAAAAAUGUCCCCUAUUGGAAAACAACUGCACAAAAUAGAAUUAAAAUUAACAAGAAUAAAAGAUUUUGAUAUACUCAAGGAAGAAUGUAUCAGGAAAACAAUAGUACAGAAAAAUGUCCCCUAUUGGUAAACCUUUGACUUGGAGCUGGUAGAACCUGCCUUGAGCAGACUGCACCGUGUUACAAUUCCUUGUUUAAUUUUAGUCCAUGCCCUAAAGGGUUGAUGAGAUCCAACAAAAACACACAAUUAAAACAAGGACUCUAGCUCUAUUAAACAGGUGGAAAUUUAAUAAGACAAAAAGGAGUUGAAGAGGGACUUAAGUAGCGCAAAAUUCUGAAACAUCAUAUAUAAAAGACUAGUGUUGCUUGAACUUCAUGUUCCUGGAAUGACACAAAAUAAGGUUCUUAGACCAAACACUCAAAAUGCAAUGCAACAUAAAAAAAUACAAGAAAAGGCAAAAAACAAAAGCAGGUAAUGAAUUAAACAAUCCUUGGUUGAUUCUAGUCCAAAUAUGUUCCUUCAUUUAUUUGGAGAGAUCCUAGAUGAGAAGGUACCACUAAAGGUCAGACACUAGCAGCAUGAAUAAACUUGGGACUGUAGCUCCAUUACACAAAUGAAUGUGUUUAAAACAGCUACGCAGAAACUUAGCUCACUGCAAAUUUCAGAGGCUCAAGUGCAGAAGACUCCAAUGUUCGAAGUCCUAACACAAAUUGGAACUGAAACUUAAGACUAUAUAUCAUAAGCAGGUGAAAGAAAGGAGUAGGAAAUAUUAUCAAGCACUCCCCAGCUUAAGCCUGAUUAGCAUAUAUCCCUUGACACAGCUUAAGGAUCCUGAAAAAAUACACAAGCAAGCAGCAGAACAGACACCAGUCACAAUUUCACAGAAUCAAGGAUUAAAAUGUAAAAAUAGUCACAAAAUACGUGUACAUUGUUCUUGAAAACAUCCUUGCCUACAAACCACUACACCGAGUUAAAAGAGGACUGCAAGCUCAAAAGCCUCAUGUAAGAAAAAAAAAAUACAAAAAACUCAUUAUCAACUUCAUUCUCCAGAAAAGACACAUCUUAGUAAAAGACAAAAAUACUAGCAAAGAAAGGAAAGGGUAGGUAAUAAAAUAAACACUCCCAGAUAAUUGUAGUCCACAUCCUCGUUAAAUUGGAAGGAUCCUAGAAAAAAGUUUAAUGUCAGACACUAGUCAUUCUCCAGAAAAGACACAUCUUAGUAAAAGACAAAAAUACUAGCAAAGAAAGGAAAGGGUAGGUAAUGAAAUAAACACUCCCAGAUAAUUGUAGUCCACAUCCUUGUUAAAUUGGAAGGAUCCUAGAAAAAAAUUAAAUGUCAGACACUAGUUAUAUUUUAGUGAAUAUAAGAACUUACUAGAAUGAAAAGGCAAAGUUUAACAAAAACUCGUUUUGAUCUAAAAUGGAAAGGCAUCUUAAGAAACUCUUUAUGUAAUCUUGUUGAAAACACUAUCAGCCAGAAAGUAUCUGCACAAAAUAAAAGAAAAUUAAGCAAGCAGAAGAAUGGUCAGAAGUUAAUGGGGAAAUAAGAGAGAUAAAAAACAGCACUAUUGGUGAAGUUGAUUUGAAGUUGGUAGAAAGUAACAAGAAGCCAAUGCAAAAAGCACAAGCAAACUACACCAAAUUUCCUCAAAACAGUUGAUGAUAGAUUAGGGGGAGAAGACACGAUUAAUAUCAAAAGCUAGUUAUUUAACCCAUAUAAACUAUAUAAGACUUGGAAAAGGAAUUAAAGAUGAAUUUAGUCUCCAGUCGAAGUUUCAAAAGCACCAUUUAAGCGCUCUCAUCGCACGGAGUCGAUGACCCUGAAAACAAAACUUGUACGCUGUUCUUGAAAACAUCCUUGCCUACAAACCACUACACCGAGUUAAAAGGGGACUGCAAGCUCCAAAGCUUCAUGUAAGGAAAAAAAACUCAUUAUCAACUUCAUUCUCCAGAAACGACACAACUAGCAAGACAAAAAUACCAGAACAUAAAGGAAAGGGUAGGUAAUGAAAUAAACACUCCCAGAUAACUGCAGUCCACAUCCUUGAUAAAUUGGAGGGAUCCUAGAAAAAAGUUUGCAAGUAAAGGUCAGACUCUAGUUAUAUUUUAAUAAAUAUAAGAACUUGUUGACUAGAAUGAAAAGGCAACGUUUAACAAAAACUUGUUUUGAUCUAAAAUGGAAAGGCAUCUUAAGAAACUGUGUAAUCUUGUUGGAAACACUAUCAGCCAGAAUGUAUCUGCACAAAAUAAAAGAAAAUUAAGCAGGCAGAAGAAUGGUCAGAAGUUAAUGGGGAAAUAAGAGAGAUAAAAAACAGCACUAUUGGUGAAGUUGAUUUGAAGUUGGUAGAAAGUAACAAGAAGCCACUGCAAAAAGCACAAGCAAACUACACCAAGUUUCCUCAAAACAGUUGAUGAUAGAUUAGGGGAAGAAGACAUGAUUAAUAUCAAAAGCUAGUUAUUUAACCCAUAUAAACUAUAUAAGACUUGGAAAAGGAAUUAAAGAUGAAUUUAGUCUCCAGUCGAAGUUUCAAAAGCACCAUAUAUGCCUCCAUGAACCUGAAAACCAAAAGCUUACAAAUAAGCACACUCUAGUAUGUCCCAGUGCCACGCAGAAAAAUACAAAAAGCAUUAAAUUGAAGGGUAAUCCUAGUGUUAUAUGUUCCUUUCAAACUGAACAAAUCCUUAAGAAAAUGCAAACAAAAAGCAGACACAAAUUUAACGAUUGAAAUGAGAAAACAAAGGAAAAGGCACUUGAUCCAUCACUGUUGAAAACUGAUAAUGAAAACAAUAGGAAAGAAAAAUGGAUCCUCUUGGUGGAGCUUAGCUUGGAGCUGGAAUUAUAAUUCCUUGUUUACUUUCAAACCAUUGCCUAAAUGCUUGAUGGCAUCCUAAAAGAACACAAAAUUAAAACUCAAAGCCUAGCUCCUUUUAAACAAGUACAAAUUUUAUUAAAAGAUACAAAGGCAGAGACAAAGAAUCACUUAUGAGCACUCCAAAGUUUGAAGCAUCACGUAUAAAAGACGUUCAUAGUUCCAACUUCAUGCACCUGGAAAGACAGGAAGUUGGAAUCUUAAAUCAUACAUAAAGGAAAAAAAAUGUAAGCAGAGAAAGGAAAAGAUGUAGGCUAUGAAUCCGGAUCUAAUUGUCAUCCAAAUAUGGUUCUUGAUACAUUUUGGAAGGAUCCUACACAAACAUGCAACUGAAGGUAAAAUUCUAGUUACACAAGUAAUCUGGAACUGUAGCUCUAUUAAACAGAUGGAAGCAUUUAAAACAGCAAAGCAGAAACUUAGUUCACUGCAAGUUCAUGAGCAUCAAGCAAAAGACUCAAUUGUUCACUGGAAUAACACAAACAAAAACUUACUACAGUACAAUAAAGCACGUACACCACUCCCUGACUUAAACUCGAGUUCAUAUGCAUUCCUUGACAACAAGAAGGAUACUGGAAAAAUAAACAACAGUAAUAUUUUGUAGAGUCAAGAAAAACGGUGGAUUGAAAUGUAAAAUAAUAUUACAAGACACUAGAUGCAUUUUUCUCAGAAAACUCCAUCUAGAUGUCUGCCCAAAAUGGAAUUAAAGUAAUGAACAUAAGAAAAUGUUGAGAGAGAGAUUCCAAAGCAAGGCAAAAAAAGAAUUUAUAAGAAAAACAAGGUAAAGCAAGAUGGCUCCUACUGAUAAAGCUUAGACCCAGUAACAAAAACCAUUGCCUUGAGCAGACAGCACCGAGUUGCCCAUUCCCUAGAAUGCUUGCUACGAUCCUAAAAGAAUUAAAGAAGAAAUUGUAUACACAAAUACAGAUUUAAAAUAGAAGUGCAAGUUGCAAAGAAUCACCAUUGUCCAACUAUAAGCUUCUAGAAAAAAAAAUCAAUCAGAAUGUUCGUCUGAACACUCAAAUUUAAUGCAAGGCAGAGGAAAGAGUACUCUGAAAUAAACACCUCCAAGCAAUCAUAAUCCAUAUAUGUUCCUUGAUAACUUGGAGGGAUCCUGGAAAAACAUGCAAGCAAACAUCGGACACAAGUUAUAUUUUAGUAUAAAUUAAAACUUGUUGACUAGAAUGAAAAAAACAAAGUUAAGAAACACUAAUUUUGAAAUAAAUGAAAGGGAAAGGUUAGGAAACACUUGGUGCUAUCUUAUUGAAAAUAUUAUCUAGAAAAAUCUGCAAAAAAUAAAACAAAAAUAAGCAAGCAUACCUACUGUUGACACAGUUGUCAGAAGUUGAAAGUGAUAUGGAGAGAAAUGAGCAAAGAAAACAGCCCCAUUGCAAGUAAAAUUUGAAGCAGCUCGGAGGUAACAAAAAAACCACUGCAAAAAUCUCAAGCUCUUGGAAGAACACACAAUACCCAAAUGCUACCUAUUUAACCAGUGUAGAUUAUACAGGACUCAGAGGAACUUAGUCUCCAAUGCAAGUUUCAAAAGCUUCAUAGCAUAACUCUCAUUGCACGAAGUCCAUGACUGAAUGGAUCCAGGAAAAACAUGCAAAGAAAAAAGCCAAGACAAAAGUAUUGAUUGAAAUGAGAGAAGAAAGUUGAAGACACCUGAUCUAUUACUGUUGAAAAGUUAUUGGUUCAAUCAAUGUCAAGUUAGUUCCAGAACUUUGCCAGCCAAACAUUCAUUACAGCAAGCCACACUUUGUUUUCCAUUACAAAACAAAUGGGGUCCUAGGAAACCUCAAACAAACAGAAUCUAAAACAAAUGGUGAAAAAUAAGAAUGUUGACUGCAAUACCAAAAUAAAGUUAAGAGACACCGUGCCCUCCUGAAAGCAACAUGAUCAGUACAAAUGCACAGAGUAUAACAGCAUUCAGCCAAGAAUAGCUUUAUUUAAUUCAGAACAGUGCAAUCUGAAGAGAAAGAAAGGAAAUCAAACCAGCUAGGCUAGAAUUUCUCCCAUGGCAAGCACUCCAAUCACUGUCAAGUAGGGUCCAAAAAGAAUCUGACUUGUAUGAGAAUAGCAGAAUAUUCUUUCCAAAAUAAAUCUGACUCGUAUGUUUUCUCAAAUUGACAGCUUGAUUAGCCUCCUACCAUUAAUUCCCUGUUAGUCAGGGAUUCUCUUGAAACAUCCAAUGCCACUGAGCGAAACUAGGACAAAAAAAUUGAUGAAAGCAUAUGAAAAACCGGGUAAGGAAGAUCAAGGACACAAAACUUGUCAAAACUGUUAUACCAUUCUCUAUCACAAAAACACAUGGCAGAAACUUCUCCACGGCAAGAUUCCAAUAGAAAAUAUAUAUCCAAUUAAUUUCAAUCCUGGAAGUAGUAGAAUCAAAAGCAAAUUAAACAAAACAGCCUCACGAUGAUCCAAACUCCAUUCAUAAGCAAAAUGAACCAAAAAUAUUCAUCAUCACUAAAAAAAACUUCAUAGUUCAAGAAACCCUAAAUUUCCUUCAUCACUGAAACCAUGGUCUUCACAGUUUGCAGAAGAUUGCAGAAAGCUACAAAGACCAAAAGAAAGAAACGAUGAAGAGAGUCCAUGCUCCUGGAGUAACACAAACUCAAAACUUGAUACUAAAAUAUAAUAACCAGGUAAAGAAAAGGAGAAGUUAACAUAAUGAACACUCCCAGGGCUUAACUCUAGGUCAUGGUUUCCUUAACAAGCAUGAAUGGUCCUGGAAAAACUCAUUGCUCGAACAUCAUGCUCUUGGAAAGACAUAAAUUAGAAUCUUAAACCAGACACUCAAAAUCUUGAUGCAAGAUAAAAGGAAAAUACAAGCAAAGAAAGGAAAAGAAGUAGGUAAUGCUUCCUGGGUUGAAUGUAGUUCAAACAUGGUCCUUGAUAAAUUUAAAAGGAUCCUAGAAAAGUGUCCAACUAAAGGUCAAACACUAACAUAAAUGAUCGAAGCAAAAACUUAGGUCACUGCAAUUUUGUGACCAAAAGAAAGAAACGAUGAAGAGAGUCCAUGCUCCUGGAGUAACACAAACUCAAAACUUGAUACUAAAAUAUAAUAACCAGGUAAAGAAAAGGAGAAGUUAACAUAAUGAACACUCCCAGGGCUUAACUCUAGGUCAUGGUUUCCUUAACAAGCAUGAAUGGUCCUGGAAAAUAACACAAACGAGGAGAUAAAAGUUACUGUUUUGUAAAACCAAGAACAAAUUGUAGAUUAAAAUGUAAAAAAACAAUUAGAAGACACUGGGUGCAUUGUUCUUGAAAACAUCAUCAUCUAGAAACAUCUGCACAAAAUGAAAUAAAAUUAACAUAGAAAUAUUUUAAAAAAACGAGAGAAUAUAAAAAAUGGAUCCUAGUGGUAAAGCUUUGAAGCUGGUAGAACCAGUAACAAGAAACCACCUCCUUUAAGCAGCCCGCUAGGAAAAGGGUAAGGCAGCUCAAAAUGGAGGCUUGGCUUGAAACGACUGCGCCAAGUUAUAAUUCCUCGUUUACUUUGAGGGCAUUCCCUAUAAUGCUUGAUAGAUCCCUAAAAGAACACACGAUUACAAUUCUCACCCAACCUCUAUUAAAGUAGUAGAACUGGGUAAUGUACAAAUAUAGAAACUGAGUAAGUUACAAAUACAAAAUUAGAAAGAGGACAGCAGGUUCCAAAGCAUCAUGUAAUAAAAAAAAAACCCCAUCGUUCAACUCCAUGCUCCUGGAAAACACAUAAUUGGAAUCUUAGGCUAAACAAUCAAAAUUUAAUGCAAGACAGAAUAAUACAAGCUGAGGAAGGACAAGGGUAGUUAAUGGAAUAAAUACUCCCAAAAAAUUGCAGCCCAUAUAUGUUCCUUGAUAAAUUGCAAGGAUCCUAGAAAAACAAGUGGGAGAAGGUUAGACCUUAGUUAUGUUUUGGUAAAUUAAACUUGUUGACUAGAAUGAAACAUUUGUUUUGAUCUGCGAUCGGAAGCUGAAUCAGAAAAGCAAAGUAAGGAAAUACUUGGUGAUCUUGUGGAAAACAUAAUCAUCUAGAAAAUAUCUGCACAAAAUAAAACAAAUAAAAGGAUUGUUGAGAGAGAGCUGUCAGCAGUUGAAAAGGAUAUGGAGAUAAAAGAGCAAAGAAAACAGUCCUGUUGCUGAAGUUGGAAAUAGAGAUAAAACCACUGACAAAAGGCCAAGAAAACAUGCAAAACAAAAGGCCAACAUAAAAUUAUUGAUCAAAAUGAGAAAUCGAAGUUAAAGAUGCUUGGUCCAUAAGUGUUGAAAAGUGAUCAGCUAUAAAAAAUCUUGGCGGGGUGAAAAUGAAAAGAAGCAGCCCAAGCAACGCCGAGGUAAUUACGAAAUAUGCCAGCUCAAACAUUCCUUACAGCACUGAAAAAGCAGACGUCAUUUUCCAUUCGAAAACUAAAGGGGUCCUGGGAGCCACAAACAAACAGCAUCUAGGAUAAGUGGGUUAGGAAUGAGAAUUGUUGACUGCAAUCCAAAAUAAAGUAAGGGGACACCAUGCCCUGCUAUAUAAGCAUCAUGACCGCACAAGUGUUGAUUCCGAAAUAUGCCAGCCCAAACAUUCCUUAAAGCACUGAAAAAGCAGACUUCAUUUUUCAUUCGAAAACUAAAGGGGUCCUGGGAGCCACAAACAAACAGCAUCUAAAAUAAGUGGAGCAAACGAAUGAAAAUUGUUGACUGCAAGCCAGAAUUAAGUUAGGGGACACCAUGCCCUGCUAUAAGCAUCAUGACCGCACAAAUGAGGAGGAAGCCAUUUGCAAAAAAGACUAGUUAAAUUAAUUCAGAAUCGUGCAAACUGAAGAGGAAGUAAAGGAAGCAAACCAGCCAGACUACAUUUUCUCACAUCACUCGCCUUCCAGAACUGUCACAGGUUCCCAAAAAAUAUUAUAAAGUUAAGUGACACCAUGCCAGAUAUAAGCAU
rnacentral:lncRNA from 1 species